rnacentral:RNase_P_RNA from 1 species
CGUGCAAGUCGUCUUGCCGCCGUCCAGAUCCGUCUGGAGGGAGGAAAGUCCGGGCAACACAGAGCACCAUACUUCCUAACGGGAAGGCAUUCUACUGGUGACGGUAGGGUGACAGACAGGGCCACAGAAACAAACCGUCCCGAUAGCUAUCGGGAUAAGGGUGAAAAGGUGGGGUAAGAGCCCACCGUCCAGCUGGUGACAGCUGGGGCUAGGCAAACCUUAUGGGUUGAAAGAUCAAAUAGACCCCGGGCAAAGAGCUGCUCGUUCGAUUUCUCCCGAUUCGUCGGGAGGAUUCCGGGGUGGGUAGAUCGAUGGAUCCCUAUCGCGAGGUAGGGGCUAGAUAAAUGGCAAGAGCCCCGCCGGAGCAAUCCACGGGGAUACAGAACCCGGCUUACAGACUUGCACUUUUU